CAGUUUUGGCGGAGCCAUCCUUGGGAUACCACCCUUGUAGUACUGGGACUCUAACCAUAGGCCAUGAAUCUGGUCUUGGGACACUGUCAGGUGGGCAGUUUGACUGGGGCGGUCGCCUCCCAAAAGGUAACGGAGGCGCUCAAAGGUUCUCUCAGUACGGUCGGAAAUCGUACGUAGAGUGUAAAGGCAAAAGAGAGCUUGAUUGCAAGACAUACAGGUCGAGCAAGGAUGAAAAUCGGACUUAGUGAUCCGGUGGUUCUGCGUGGAAGGGCCAUCGCUCAACGGAUAAAAGCUACCCUGGGGAUAACAGGCUUAUCUCCCCCAAGAGUCCACAUCGACGGGGAGGUUUGGCACCUCGAUGUCGGCUCAUCACAUCCUGGGGCUGUAGUAGGUCCCAAGGGUUGGGCUGUUCGCCCAUUAAAGUGGUACGCGAGCUGGGUUCAGAACGUCGUGAGACAGUUCGGUCCCUAUCCGUCGCAGGCGUAGGAAAUUUGAGAAGACCUGUCCUUAGUACGAGAGGACCGGGAUGGACGUACCUCUGGUGUACCAGUUGU
rnacentral:rRNA from 1 species